rnacentral:rRNA from 1 species
AACGCUAGCUACAGGCUUAACACAUGCAAGUCGAGGGGUAGCAGGGUAGCAAUACCGCUGACGACCGGCGCACGGGUGAGUAACACGUAUCCAACCUUCCCAUAACUCGGGGAUAGCCUUUCGAAAGAAAGAUUAAUACCCGAUAGUACUUAAGAAAGGCAUCUUUUUUAAGUUAAAGAUUUAUUGGUUAUGGAUGGGGAUGCGUUCCAUUAGAUAGUUGGUGAGGUAACGGCUCACCAAGUCUUCGAUGGAUAGGGGUUCUGAGAGGAAGGUCCCCCACAUUGGUACUGAGACACGGACCAAACUCCUACGGGAGGCAGCAGUGAGGAAUAUUGGUCAAUGGGCGAGAGCCUGAACCAGCCAAGUAGCGUGAAGGAUGAAGGUCCUAUGGAUUGUAAACUUCUUUUAUAGUAGAAUAAAGUGAUCCACGUGUGGAUUUUUGUAUGUAUACUAUGAAUAAGGAUCGGCUAACUCCGUGCCAGCAGCCGCGGUAAUACGGAGGAUCCGAGCGUUAUCCGGAUUUAUUGGGUUUAAAGGGUGCGUAGGCGGAAUAAUAAGUCAGUUGUGAAAGUUUGCGGCUCAACCGUAAAAUUGCAGUUGAUACUGUUAUUCUUGAGUGUACAUAAGGUAGGCGGAAUUCGUGGUGUAGCGGUGAAAUGCUUAGAUAUCACGAAGAACUCCGAUUG